AACGCACCUUGCGCCUUUUGGUAUUCCGAAAGGCAUGCCUGUUUGAGUGUCAUGAAAUCUCAAUCCCAUCUGGUUUAUGACCGGGUGUUGGACUUGGACAUGGGUGUCUGCCGGUCAAACGGCUCGCCUCAAAUGACUUAGUGGGAUCGCUUGCAUCCGUGACAGACGUAAUAAGUUUCGUCUUGUCCCUUGCUCUGCGUACGCCUGCUCAGAACCAAGCUGUCUUGCCUUCACCGGCCUGACGCACUUUUUUGACUCUGACCUCAAAUCAGGUAGGACUACCCGCUGAACUUAA
rnacentral:misc_RNA from 1 species